rnacentral:rRNA from 1 species
GUAGUUAGCCGUGGCUUCCUCCUUAGGUACCGUCAUUAUCGUCCCUAAAGACAGAGCUUUACAAUCCGAAGACCUUCAUCACUCACGCGGCGUUGCUGCAUCAGGGUUUCCCCCAUUGUGCAAUAUUCCCCACUGCUGCCUCCCGUAGGAGUCUGGACCGUGUCUCAGUUCCAGUGUGGCCGAUCAGCCUCUCAGCUCGGCUACCCAUCGUUGGCUAGGUGGGCCGUUACCCCGCCUACUACCUAAUGGGACGCGAACCCCUCCUUCUGCGGAUUGCUCCUUUGACCCCUGAGCCAUGCGACUCUGUGGUCUUAUGCGGUAUUAGCACUUGUUUCCAGGUGUUAUCCCCCUCAGAAGGGCAGGUUGUUCACGCGUUACUCACCCGUUCGCCACUAACAGUAAAUCCGAAAACUUACUGUCCGUUCGACUUGCAUGUGUUAGGCACGCCGCCAGCGUUCGUCCUGAGCAGAUACGACCUACGA